GGGCCUGCACAAGCGGUGGAGCAUGUGGUUUAAUUCGAUGCAACGCGAAGAACCUUACCAGGAUUUGACAUACUACAAAUCUUUUUGAGAAAAAAGAGCGCCUUCGGGAAUGUAGAUACAGGUGGUGCAUGGCUGUCGUCAGCUCGUGUCGUGAGAUGUUGGGUUAAGUCCCGCAACGAGCGCAACCCUUAUUUUUAGUUACUAACUUGUUAGGUUCUCUAGAAAGACUGCCGGUGACAAACCGGAGGAAGGUGAGGAUGACGUCAAGUCAGCAUGCCCCUUAUAUCCUGGGCUACACACGUGCUACAAUGGUUAAGACAAUGAGUCGCAAGCUCGCGAGAGUCUGCUAAUCUGGUAAACUUUGCCUAAGUUCAGAUUGUAGGCUGCAACUCGCCUACAUGAAGUUGGAAUCGCUAGUAAUCGCUGGU
rnacentral:rRNA from 1 species